rnacentral:rRNA from 1 species
GACAGAGGGGGCAAGCGUUGCUCGGAAUUAUUGGGCGUAAAGGGCGCGUAGGCGGUGCGGUAAGUCACCUGUGAAAUCUCCUGGCUCAACUGGGAGCUUGCAGGCGAAACUGCCGUGCUGGAGUGUGGGAGAGGUGCGUGGAAUUCCUGGUGUAGCGGUGAAAUGCGUAGAUAUCAGGAGGAACACCUGUGGCGAAAGCGGCGCACUGGACCACAACUGACGCUGAGGCGCGAAAGCUAGGGGAGCAAACAGG